UGAAACCUGGAACAUUAGCAUUCCAUACAAAAAUAUAAUACAUAUUUCAAAUAUUCAAUCCUCUAACAGUCAGUUUAACUAACAUUUCACUAACAGAGAAAUGAUAGUUCAAACUUUCAACUAAUUCUCCUUUGGUUAAUGCUAACUAAAUAAUGCAUUAAUUAACUUCAUAACUAGUUAAUGGUGUUAACUCUUCUAACAAACUUACUAAUUGAUUGAACUAACCCUAACCUCUUCCCGAACCUUCAAAAAAACUUUACCCGAGUCUGCCCCAUUAUGUUACAAGCCCCAUUAUGUUACAAGCUGCGAUCCCUAUAAAUCAAACCUCAUACAUACAUCCAAUGGGACUGAUCAUAAUACCGAAAAUCUCAGAAUCUAUGCAUCAUCUUCAACCUCUCAAAUAUAAUCACUCAGAGCACAUCCCUAGCCUUCUGCAACGUAUCACCAUUAGACCUUGAAUGAAGGUGUCCUAAAACCUCUAUAUGAUUCCAUCACUCUCUUCACAACCUCAUGAGUUCUCUCUGCAACUUCUACUCCCUCUCAAAGCACAAUCUUAGGUAUACAUUUUAGGAGAAGAAGAAGAAGGAUCUUUAGAGGAGGGAGAAUCAGAAAGAAGAAGAAGAUAAGAGCAGGAGCAUACCAGAUUUCAAGUGAUUUUCCCAUCGCUGCUUCAUCUUCUCCGAUCCAACACUUUGGCGGAGUAAUUCUCAGCUUCGGAGCAUUAGCAGCUUUCGCGAGAAAAAUCAUAUCUUGAGCUAGGAGUAUCGGAUUGAGACGUGCUACAUGUCGAUGGAAAGCUAAGAAAAAGAUCUACAAUGUUUGUUCAGAAGUCGAGAGCUGAAUCAGACUGUAACAGGGCCAGAAAAUUCAUUGAAGUUGCAGCAUUAGUUUUAUUUAAGUUUAGGGUCAUUAGUUUUGGGCUUGAGUUAUGUUUUCGAUCCAGUUGGGUUUAAACCAAAUUCCUUGUUUUCCAUAUACCUAGUAGCUGCAUAACAUGAGGAUAAUUCACUAUUCACGAAAUACUUGAAAGCUUUGGCAAGAAUUCUCAUGAAGAACUAAUCGAUCUAAAUAAUUUGCUGUAUUCGGGUUCCGAUACCUUGAGAUUUUAGUAAUUCUUAUUCAGGUUUUUUAUUCCUUUCAAUAUUAAUAUAUGUAUUUUGUUUGCUUAA